rnacentral:tRNA from 1 species
UAGCUCAGCUGGAUAGAGCAUUUGAUUGCGGUUCAAAAGGUCAGAGGUUCGAAUCCUC